GCGAACGUAGUUUAAUGGUAAAGCCUUAGCCUUCCAAGCUAAUGACGAGAGUUCGAUUCUCUUCGUUCGCU
rnacentral:tRNA from 1 species